UCCAAAACAAAACGAUCAUUCGCGCAUGAAACUGAAGCAUCGUUCUAGCUCAGUUUCAAUAGUAAUAAGCUAGGUAGAUCACAAUAAAUCCGAUUUUUCCACACUGCUGAUCGUGAUGCCAGCGGAGAGUUCGGAAGGUAAAUACUUCGAUGAAUCAAGAUUGUACCGCACGGGCUGGCAUUAGUCUCAUCGACGGACAAGAUUUCCGCUAGUGAUAAUAUGGUGCGGCACUGGAAACGGACCGAAAACUACUGUGUCCUUGUUCGAAUUCUAACGAUCAACCGGAGGCUGUCAAAUGGGGCUCCCGUUAUCAGCACAAACAAAGCGAGCAUUCCCUGUUCGUGCAGGAUUUACAUCUUAGAGCAUAAAGGAAACCAGCAGCAACCCCGGCCAGACAUCGAUAACCAAGAGAGACGCCCAGAGAGUGAACCCGCGCAUAAACUCCGGCACGACGAAUUCCAUGUUCAUCUGGUACACUUAUGGAGGGCAAAAUUCUCGCCAUGCGAUCGGAUCUCAACGGGCAGUCGGUGGUUGCGUUGGAUUCUGAAUGGAAGCCGACCUUUGCCUGUGCAAAGAAGUUUCCUUCAUUCAGCUGGCCACGUGGGACGAUGUGUACAUAAUCGAUGUGCUGGUAAGCCAUCUGGAGCCGUCGGAUUGGGCUGCCUUAGUGCUUCAAAAAGUUGCCGAUUCAAUUGCAUCCGUUAUCCUUAACAUGAGAAAUCUGUUCAUCCAAAUUUCGCCAACCUGGUCCAGUUGUGUAGGCAAAAAGUUGAACAAGUCCAAUCUGUUCUCAAACUGGACCCAGCGACCACUGCGCAAUGAGCAGCUCCGCUAUGCUGUCCUGAACGGUUUCUGCCUGCUUGAGAUCUACAAGGCCAUCGAAAGUCAGCUGCCCCAUAUCCAAGAGCAUAACCAACGUGAUUCUAAACGUUUUGCUGAAUAAUAUCCGAUCGAACGAUGAUCGCUCCCCGAGGAGGGCCGGUAGGCCUCAGGAUAACUCUUCUCGUUACCGACGCAACCAUCGUGAUAGGCACAACAAACGACACACCCUUGGUAGUGGGGACACCAAUAACCAAAAUUCUUCUCGGAACUACAAAUGUCAUCAUUCAUCCCACCAAAAUUGUUCCAAGGCAAAAGGUGUGGUUCUCGGGAGCAGCAGUCAUUCACUGGCGUCUGGCCCCAAUAUAAAAUCAGUACCUACUCUAAGUGCCAGUGAGAUCUACACAAAGUAACCCCAGUUGUACAGCUAGGUAUGUUCAUGAAAAUAACAGUGAGAGCCGAUUUCUACACAAAAUGGUUAAAUUUGAGGUGCUGUC